rnacentral:rRNA from 1 species
GAUGAACGCUAGCUACAGGCUUAACACAUGCAAGUCGAGGGGAAACGAUAUUGGAAGCUUGCUUCCGAUAGGCGUCAACCGGCGCACGGGUGAGUAACGCGUAUCCAACCUGCCCAUCACUUGGGGAUAACCUUGCGAAAGUAAGACUAAUACCCAAUGACGUCUCUAGAAGACAUCUGAAAGAGAUUAAAGAUUUAUCGGUGAUGGAUGGGGAUGCGUCUGAUUAGCUUGUUGGCGGGGUAACGGCCCACCAAGGCGACGAUCAGUAGGGGUUCUGAGAGGAAGGUCCCCCACAUUGGAACUGAGACACGGUCCAAACUCCUACGGGAGGCAGCAGUGAGGAAUAUUGGUCAAUGGACGAGAGUCUGAACCAGCCAGGUAGCGUGCAGGAUGACGGCCCUAUGGGUUGUAAACUGCUUUUAUAAGGGAAUAAAGUGAGAGUCGUGACUCUUUUUGCAUGUACCUUAUGAAUAAGGACCGGCUAAUUCCGUGCCAGCCGCCGCCGUAA